UACGUAGGGUCCGAGCGUUGUCCGGAAUUAUUGGGCGUAAAGAGCUCGUAGGCGGUUUGUCGCGUCUGCCGUGAAAGUCCGGGGCUCAACUCCGGAUCUGCGGUGGGUACGGGCAGACUAGAGUGAUGUAGGGGAGACUGGAAUUCCCGGUGUAGCGGUGAAAUGCGCAGAUAUCGGGAAGAACACCCGUGGCGAAGGCGGCUCUCUGGGACGGUACUGACGCUGAGACGCGAAGGCCAGGGAGCAAACGGG
rnacentral:rRNA from 1 species